rnacentral:lncRNA from 1 species
CAGAAAUAACCCCAGGACACGAUAAACUGAACGUGCUCAGAAGAAGACUGGCAGCAUAUCACAUGCUUGGGCAUCCAUGUUUGAGAAGUCUAAAGGGAGAAGUUGCACAGUGAGGAAAGCACAUGGCUUAUUGAGCAGAUCUGCGUCCAAUGUGCCAGGUGGAAGAAUGGCCAAGGGCUCCAUUGGUUCACACCUGUGUGGUCUGCGUGGUGGUGUAUUGGACCGAUGACCCCAUCGGCACACUUGCAGAGCCUAGUGCCUACCCCUGACCAAUGACUGCCCUUGCUCAGAUUUAGUUUGCUUCUCUGGGUUCUGGGUUCUGGACCUUUUAAAUUCAUCUGCUGCUGUAUUGCUGGGCACAUUUCAAAGCUUCCUGGAUGAAUAAAA